UUGUCUUUAAUUGAUCUGACGAGCUUGCUCUGAUUUGAUUUUAUCUGACAAAGAGUGGCGAACGGGUGAGUAACACGUGGGUAACCUACCUCUUAGCAGGGGAUAACAUUUGGAAACAAGUGCUAAUACCGUAUAAUACCAACAACCGCAUGGUUGUUGGUUGAAAGAUGGUUCUGCUAUCACUAAGAGAUGGACCCGCGGUGCAUUAGCUAGUUGGUAAGGUAACGGCUUACCAAGGCAAUGAUGCAUAGCCGAGUUGAGAGACUGAUCGGCCACAAUGGGACUGAGACACGGCCCAUACUCCUACGGGAGGCAGCAGUAGGGAAUCUUCCACAAUGGGCGCAAGCCUGAUGGAGCAACGCCGCGUGUGUGAUGAAGGGUUUCGGCUCGU
rnacentral:rRNA from 1 species